AGUGAACGCUGGCGGUAGGCCUAACACAUGCAAGUCGAACGGCAGCACAGUAAGAGCUUGCUCUUACGGGUGGCGAGUGGCGGACGGGUGAGGAAUACAUCGGAAUCUACUUUUUCGUGGGGGAUAACGUAGGGAAACUUACGCUAAUACCGCAUACGACCUACGGGUGAAAGCAGGGGAUCUUCGGACCUUGCGCGAUUGAAUGAGCCGAUGUCGGAUUAGCUAGUUGGCGGGGUAAAGGCCCACCAAGGCGACGAUCCGUAGCUGGUCUGAGAGGAUGGUCAGCCACACUGGAACUGAGACACGGUCCAGACUCCUACGGGAGGCAGCAGUGGGGAAUAUUGGACAAUGGGCGCAAGCCUGAUCCAGCCAUACCGCGUGGGUGAAGAAGGCCUUCGGGUUGUAAAGCCCUUUUGUUGGGAAAGAAAAGCAGCAGGUUAAUACCCCGCUGUUCUGACGGUACCCAGAGAAUAAGCACCGGCUAACUUCGUG
rnacentral:rRNA from 1 species